AUUGAACGCUAGCGGCAUGCUUUACACAUGCAAGUCGAACGAGUGGCGCACGGGUGAGUAAUAUAUCGGAACGUGCCCAGUAGCGGGGGAUCACUACUCGAAAGAGUGGCUAAUCCCGCAAACUAUUGGAGCGCCCUAUAUGGGAUUAGCUAGUUGGUGGGGGAAAGGCACACCAAGGCCACGACCCGUAGCUGGUUUGAGAGGACGACCAGCCACACUGGGACUGAGACACGGCCCAGACUCCUACGGGAGGCAGCAGUGGGGAAUUUUGGACAAUGGGGGAAACCCUGAUCCAGCCAUCCCGCGUGUAUGAGAAGGCCUUCGGGUUGUAAAGUACUUUUGGCAGAGAAGCGGUAUCUGCAGAAUAAGCACCGGCUAACUACGUGCCAGCAGCCGCGGUAAUAC
rnacentral:rRNA from 1 species